rnacentral:rRNA from 1 species
AUUGAACGCUGGCGGCAGGCUUAACACAUGCAAGUCGAGCGAGCGGCGGACGGGUGAGUAAUGUCUGGGAAACUGCCUGAUGGAGGGGGAUAACUACUGGACACGGUAGCUAAUACCGCAUACCAUCAGAUGUGCCCAGAUGGGAUUAGCUAGUAGGUGGGGUAAUGGCUCACCUAGGCGACGAUCCCUAGCUGGUCGGAGAGGAUGACCAGCCACACUGUAACGGAGACACUGUCCAGACUCCUACGGGAGGCAGCAGUUGGGAAUAUUGGCCAAUGGGCGCAAGCCUGAUUCAGCCAGGCGGAGUGUGUGAAGAAGGCUUUCGGUUUGUAAAACACUUUCAGCGAGGAGGCGUUACUCGCAGAUUAAGCACCGGCUAACUCCGUGCCAGCAGCCGCGGUAAUAC